rnacentral:misc_RNA from 1 species
CUUUUUUCUGUGUGUAAAAGCUCCCUGACAUGAGAUUAACCAAUGUCAACCGAUAAUAAUGACCAAAAUUAAGUAAUAACUUCCAUCUCAUUAUGGAGUCCACUCUCUAGAAAUAAUCAUCAUCUUGUUCUCAGACAACCCCAAGGCCUCUGAUAUUUAUAAAUGAAGUAUAGAACAUAGGGCCAACUGAACAAUUAAACAGAAACCUUCCUCGUGGUCAAUUUAACAUUAAAAAAAAGGCAACUCAACUAUUUAAUUCUAUGAAAAGUAUUUUCCAUGAUAAAUAAAAUUUAUCAGCUCAUCUCAUUUUAGAGUUUUUGAAUUAAAUCAUAUGGGAGACAUGACAUUACACCAAAAAUUUUCAGAAUUUUUCUUUCCUAUCUUUCUACUAACAAUCACAUAGCACAUACUUCUAGCUUACAAGUUACAAGUUAAAAUUACAAUGAACCAAUAUCACCGGACAAGCAUAAUUUCACACGGCCUAAUGGUAUUUCACGGUGCGAAUUACAACCUAUGUUGUUGAUUUCUAGUUCCAGAUUCUAUUGAUGCCUUUUUAUGCAUGCUAUACAGAAAAAGAUGACCAGUUGCACCAACACGCUAUGUACCAAUAGCUGACAAAGCUGCAUAAAUUGCAAAUCUGGCGAACCCUCAGUCAUGCUUUGGUUUCAAGAAAGUAGUUGUUGAAAAGAAGAGAACCAGCAAAUCUUCCCUAGCACGUAUUCAGAGCAGCAUCAUGUGUUUUGACCUUUUUUAGCUUUGACAGAUGUCUGAUCUAAUAGGCUGGUAAAAUAUGCUCAUUUCUAAUCCUGUUCUUUCAAACUACUUGUUUUCUCA